rnacentral:lncRNA from 1 species
UACAUAUUAUACAUAUCUUUUUAUAUGUAGGAUCUUGUAUUUGUGUGUGAACUUCAUCCCACUUCUCGAAGAUGAAAAGAUAAAGUUUCCAGACAUUAAAGCAUCCAGUGUCCCUGACUUGCACUGGAAAAUCUGGCAUCUGUCACAAAAGUACAGCAUAGCUUCUGAGUGUCCAAGGAUUUCUACAUGUCUUAAGAACUACACAAAAGCAUCCAUCGAAAUGCCUGCCUAUGACCAAGCAUGCCCAUUCUGAGGAACAGGUGACAACCCCGGCUCUGCUUCCCUCCCCUCCUGAGACCUUACACUUAUGAAAGCCUUCCUGGCUGAUGAUGGGGCGGGCUUCAGAAGCUGUAUGUUGAGCGAUCCUUUUCUUCUACACAAUCAACUAAUGUGUUGAGGUCCUACUAUGUGCUACGCAUUGUUCUGGGUAUUUUGCUGACAGACUGAAGAGCCUGGUUUCACAUGCAGAAGGGGAGGAAGCUGUUCAACAUCAGAAACUGCUCAACAUCAAGCAUAAAAGGCAGGGUAGCCAGGCAAGAAGAAACAGAGGCACAGCUGAAAACAGCGUGCUGGAGGAGUGAGAAAGCACCUCAGAAGCCGAGGAGCUUCCAUGGCAACACAGAAGUCAACAGUAACAAGACUAUCAAGAGCCGAGAGCCCCCGGGAUGAAUUUGCAGGGCCCUCCUCCUCCUCCUCCCAGGCCCUCCCCCGCUCCCAGUAGGAGCCGAGAAAAUCACAAUGAGCAUGAGAUCAGAUGACAUACCCGAUGAUGCGUUAGGGAAAGUCACAUGGCAGCACCAGGCAGAGAAUACACUCUUGGAAAAAAUAGAAGGGAAAAUAAUACGGGAACCCAAAGGUGUAAAGUGCGUAUUCUCAAGGGAAGGUAAAGAUUUAUAGUCCAGCCUUUUCACCAGAGCAUUAGAACGGAAUGAUCUUCUACACGUAGAAAUGACCAAAAUAUCCCAAGAGAGGAUGGGGUUAAGUAAAGGAUGAUAUGAGUCCUCAUUAAAGAUGAUGUUUGUGGGAAACAUGAGCGACACGGAAAGUGCUGCUGGUGCAGUGUUGGGCGAGACACCAACACGGAAUUGCCGAUGAGUCUGACCCCAAUUACAGGGAGCGUCUCCUUACGGGCGCCAUUGUGAUGAUCUUGCCAUAGAAGAAAAGACCAUUAGUGGUAAUGAACAUAUUUUCUUUUAUAACACUCUUCUUUUAGUAAAAUAAAGAGUUUUUUCAUGAAUCA